AAGGGUUACCGCACCAAAAAUAGGCAUUUUGUCAGCCGUCAAGAUUGUUCAGAUAUUUUGGACUGGAUAAGCAGAACCCAAGGGUCAUCAAGCAAUGAAGCUAUUUUUUCGUUCACCUGAAUCUAAUUCAUUAUGAGAAUGACCUUACAGAAUCCAAAAUGAAACAAUUUUCCCCCUUUCAGAGAGACUCAAAAAAGAGAAAUAUAUCGGAAGCAUUCAU